UAGCUCAGUCGGUAGAGCAGAGGAUUGAAAAUCCUCGUGUCGGUGGUUCGAUUCCGCCCCAGGCACCA
rnacentral:tRNA from 1 species